rnacentral:rRNA from 1 species
UGGGGAAUAUUGCACAAUGGGCGGAAGCCUGAUGCAGCGACGCCGCGUGGGGGAUGACGGCCUUCGGGUUGUAAACCUCUUUCAGUGCAGAACAAGGCUCUUUGUGGGUUGAGGGUAUGCGCAGAAGAAGCGCCGGCUAACUACGUGCCAGCAGCCGCGGUAAUACGUAGGGCGCGAGCGUUGUCCGGAUUUAUUGGGCGUAAAGAGCUCGUAGGCGGUUUGUCGCGUCUGCUGUGAAAUCCUCUGGCUUAACUGGGGGCGUGCAGUGGGUACGGGCAGACUGGAGUGCGGUAGGGGAGACUGGAAUUCCUGGUGUAGCGGUGGAAUGCGCAGAUAUCAGGAGGAACACCGGUGGCGAAGGCGGGUCUCUGGGCCGUUAUUGACGCUGAGGAGCGAAAGCAUGGGGAGCGAACA